GGAACUUGAGUAGAUGGUUCUACAUUUUUAUUAUAAAUAAAAAUAAAGGGAUUCGAUUUCUCCAAAUUCCU
rnacentral:tRNA from 1 species